rnacentral:rRNA from 1 species
GGACUACCCGGGUUUCUAAUCCCGUUUGCUCCCCUAGCUUUCGCGCCUCAGCGUCAGAAGAGGUCCAGCGUGCCGCCUUCGCCACCGGAGUUCCUAUUGAUAUCAACGCAUUUCACCGCUCCACCAAUAGUUCCGCACGCCCCUACCUCCCUCGAGACAUCCAGUAUCCACGGCAGUUCGACAGUUAAGCUGCCGGAUUUCACCACAGACUAGAAUGCCCGCCUACGCGCCCUUUAAGCCCAGUGAUUCCGAAUAACGUUUGCUCGGUUCGUCUUACCGCGGCUGCUGGCAC